rnacentral:rRNA from 1 species
UACGAAGGGGGCUAGCGUUGUUCGGAAUCACUGGGCGUAAAGCGCACGUAGGCGGAUCUUUAAGUCAGGGGUGAAAUCCCGAGGCUCAACCUCGGAACUGCCUUUGAUACUGGGGAUCUCGAGUCCGGGAGAGGUGAGUGGAACUGCGAGUGUAGAGGUGAAAUUCGUAGAUAUUCGCAAGAACACCAGUGGCGAAGGCGGCUCACUGGCCCGGAACUGACGCUGAGGUGCGAAAGCGUGGGGGAGCAAACAG